rnacentral:rRNA from 1 species
GAAUUUUGGACAAUGGGGGCAACCCUGAUCCAGCCAUGCCGCGUGGGUGAAGAAGGCCUUUUGGUUGUAAAGCACUUUAAGCAGUGAAGAAGACUCCAUGGUUAAUACCCAUGGACGAUGACAUUAGCUGCAGCAUAAACACCGGCUAACCCUGUGCCAGAAGCCGCGGUAAUAAAGAGGGUGCAAGCGUUAAUCGGAAUUACGGGGCGUAAAGCGAGCGUAGGUGGCUUGAUAAGUCAGAUGUGAAAUCCCCGGGCUUAACCUGGGAGCUGCAUCUGAUACUGUUAGGCUAGAAUAGGCGAGAGGAAGGUAGAAUUCCAGGUGUAGCGGUGAAAUGCGUAGAGAUCUGGAGGAAUACCGAUGGCGAAGGCAGCCUUCUGGCAUCAUAUUGACACUGAGGUUCGAAAGCGUGGGUAGCAAAC